GCAUGGUGGUGCAGUUGCUAGCACUGCUUCCUCGCAAGGAGGUUGCAGGUUCGAGUCCUCUCCACA
rnacentral:tRNA from 1 species